UACGUAGGGUGCAAGCGUUGUCCGGAAUUAUUGGGCGUAAAGAGCUCGUAGGCGGUCUGUUACGUCGGCUGUGAAAACCUGGGGCUCAACUCCGGGCCUGCAGCCGAUACGGGCAGACUAGAGUUCGGCAGGGGAGACUGGAAUUCCUGGUGUAGCGGUGAAAUGCGCAGAUAUCAGGAGGAACACCGGUGGCGAAGGCGGGUCUCUGGGCAAUAACUGACGCUGAGGAGCGAAAGCGUGGGGAGCGAACAGG
rnacentral:rRNA from 1 species